GCCUGCCUCUCUGCUUGACUUCAAUAACUUAUCUCCAUGAAUCCCCAGCAGAAAGCAUGUUCUAUACUCCAGUUCUCGAGAAGAUGAGACGUGAGUGCUGGGGAAUUAGAAGACAGAGGGGCUUUACUGCAACAGUGAACAAGCUGAAAAUUACAAGUUUCCAGUGGGAGAAGCACGCGGGUCAAGUGUCUGCUCCGAUGAGCCGGCAGCGUGGCUGAACACACUCCGACGAGCUCACCUCCCGGAAACUCCUGCGUGCAUGCGAAUGAGGAGCAUUUCCAGUUUGUGUUUACAAGCUCCUGCAAACAAGAGCUGGGCUGUUCUCCCGAGUCAGAGGUGCGUGACUCAAAAUCGCACUAUCUGGAAAUUCAAUGAGAGGAUUCUUUUGUCCACAAAUUCCUCGCCCUUUCAACAAUCAAAAAACGAUGGCUAUGUCAAACACGAGGAACCGGGAUUUAGAGGCCAGAUGCUCCUACAGAGAACAGGACUCCUCAGCCCCGCCUUGUCCCACCCAUUGAAUCGGAACCCCUUGGCCGUGAAGUCUGAAUUCACUGCAUCUCUUUGAACAACAUACUUGGAUGUGGGCCACGCCCUCAAGAGCCAGACUUAAGGACAGCCAGAAUCAAAGAGAACCAUCACUGUUUCUGCAACCGCCCUCCGUUUUCAUACCCUGCUCCCG